rnacentral:rRNA from 1 species
AACAUGACUCUCGGCAACGGAUAUCUCGGCUCUCGCAUCGAUGAAGAACGUAGCAAAAUGCGAUACCUGGUGUGAAUUGCAGAAUCCCGCGAACCAUCGAGUUUUUGAACGCAAGUUGCGCCCGAGGCCUUCUGGUCGAGGGCACGCCUGCCUGGGCGUCACGC